GACGAACGCUGGCGGCGUGCUUAACACAUGCAAGUCGAACGGAAAGGCCCUUCGGGGUACUCGAGUGGCGAACGGGUGAGUAACACGUGGGUGAUCUGCCCUGCACUUUGGGAUAAGCCUGGGAAACUGGGUCUAAUACCGAAUAGGACCACGCGCUUCAUGGUGUGUGGUGGAAAGCUUUUGCGGUGUGGGAUGGGCCCGCGGCCUAUCAGCUUGUUGGUGGGGUAAUGGCCUACCAAGGCGACGACGGGUAGCCGGCCUGAGAGGGUGACCGGCCACACUGGGACUGAGAUACGGCCCAGACUCCUACGGGAGGCAGCAGUGGGGAAUAUUGCACAAUGGGCGCAAGCCUGAUGCAGCGACGCCGCGUGAGGGAUGACGGCCUUCGGGUUGUAAACCUCUUUCAAUAGGGGAGAAGCGCAAGUGACGGUACCUAUAGAAGAAGCACCGGCCAACUACGUG
rnacentral:rRNA from 1 species